UCUUCUAGGUACAAGCGAAUCGGUGGACGAAUUGGUGUACGAAGCUCACGUGGAACUGCUGCUGUCAGAGUUAUUUAAAAAUUAAAAAUUAAAAUUAAAAAAGAAAGAAAGAAGGAAAACGAACAUAAGAAGACUGCCCCUUCCGAAGAAGACUUCCCCUUCGUACAAAUCCCAAGAUUCGGUGGUGGUGCUCUCUCGUUCCUCCCUCUACUGCAACUUGGCCAGUCUCCUCCGCACGCGACCCGCAUUCGAGAUUUUUCCUGUCGUCAAAUCUUUAUCGUCAUCUUCAAGAAUAACCACAGUCUGCAAAGGUACGUAAGAAUCUCUAAAUGGUCUAUUCAGCUGAUUGGUUGUUGGCGGUGCUUAAAACGAUCCAUACUUGUUUGGAGCUGCAAAAAGGAAUCUUUUCUUUAAUCUUCUAUAUGCUGAAGGCAGUAGCUCAAUGUUGCAGUUAUGAUGAAUUUUAGAUUGUUAAGAGUUUUUGUUGUUCCUCCAUUUAGGUCCUGACUUUUUGGAAGCUGUUUGAUGUAUCAUCAUUCGAGUAGUUGUUAUGCUCAGUCCACCUCAGCAUUGGGUCAGAGUUUGCUCAGGCUGAAAGAGCCUACUGUUUUGCUGCAUUGCCGCGAAGAUGAUCUUCACUUCAUCUGUGCUGGAUUCAGCCGCACAAGAAUAUUCUGAGAAAGCAAAUGUUCAUCCACCUCAGAUCAUAGUCGACAAUAUUGUCUAUCUCAAGUGUAUGGAGUUGAUCAUUUUUUAAUGUUUCAACUGUAAUGGUACUUCUUAAGUGUUUUGGUUAUGAUGUACAAAAGGGAUAUUUGUUGGUUCAUUAAAUUAACCUUUCUAAUGAAAAGUUGUGUAAUGAAAACAGCUUGUACACAUGGUUUUGGAGAGAUUCCAUUGAAAUGAGAAACAUUAGUUCUUGAAUUGAGUUCAUAACUGGCAAAUAUUACAGCAAAUGAAACACAAAGUAAGCAAAUAUUACAGCAAAUGAAACACAAAGUAAACAAAUAUUACAGGUCUCAAAAAGCCUAGUAUGACUUUUUUCUAACAAAAAAACAGCUUCCUUCCUUCUGACCCCAAGAUUGUGGAUUUGGGUGACUGUUGACGAGGUUGAACUUGCU